rnacentral:lncRNA from 1 species
CUUCUGAGUCAAGGCACAGUCUUUGGAAUGUCCUCAAUGGUAGAGGACCAAGGUCUUUUAGGAAAGAAUUUGAGUUUUAGAAUAGCCUUAAGUCAUUCAGAGCGAGACUUGUGGAUAAGGUGGGUUCUCCGGCUCUUUAAAAACAGGCAGAAGAAUUCUGCCUAAUAAAUGUGGAAGGAAUGAGAGAAUGAAAAAGUCAUCAUUUUGUAACUCCUAGGGGAAGAAUUGAUUCAGACAAUGAUCAUCAAUGGAUGAACUCGUUAGAUGAAAGAUUGAUGGGGAACUUGAACACAGAGGGAUGAGGCUGUCACCACCUGAACCAAUGAUCAAUCUUAGCAUCACCGAAGCCUCCUGGUUUCCUGCUGGUGACUUCCCAUUCCUGCUGGUGAUUUCCCAGUGCUUGUUUUCCAUGGACCAAACCCAACUGGAAGUCAAAGGGCAGAAGAAUCAAGCAGAGCCCAGGUCCCAGAAGGACAGAGUAUGGAUCUGGAGGGGUAAGUGGAGAAUUGACAGCACACCGUCCCACCAAGACUGGUCUUAGGAAUGCAGGGUGAUACCAUGAAAGCAGUGUAUGUUCCCUGAACCACACCAACCAGAAGAGAAGAUGUAGCAGUUAGUGCUCACCCCAAAUUCCAUGUACUUCCUACGAUCCGCUUGGGGCCACACGACUACUUCAGACUACAAUGGACUGGGAGCAAAGACGACAUGUGUCACUGGCUCCAGUGGCUAAGAGCCAGUGUGCCUCUUCCAUCCCUCUCUUCUUCUCACACAGUGACAUGGGGACAUUGGGGUCCACAGUUUCAAGAUAGGGCAGCUUCAGGAUAGAGGAGGAAUGCCCAGCCUGCAUCAGAUUUAACUCAGUGAGAAGAAACCCUUUAUGGGGUAAGCCUCUGAGAUGUGGGGAUGCACCUGUUACAGCAGCACAGCCCAUCAUGUCCUGACUACUGCGGAAGGAGAUAACCUGGGCCUGGAGUGGCCCUCGGCAGUAGAGAAAAUGUCCCUCCUGAGCCUUGGAAAUAUGCUGG